rnacentral:rRNA from 1 species
CCCUACGGGACGCAGCAGUCGGGAAUAUUGCGCAAUGGAGGAAACUCUGACGCAGUGACGCCGCGUGCGGGACGAAGGCCCUCGGGUUGUAAACCGCUUUCAGCAGGGAAGAUCCAAGACGGUACCUGCAGAAGAAGCUCCGGCUAACUACGUGCCAGCAGCCGCGGUAAUACGUAGGGGGCGAGCGUUAUCCGGAUUCAUUGGGCGUAAAGCGCGCGUAGGCGGCCGCCUAAGCGGGACCUCUAACCCCGGGGCUCAACCCCGGGCCGGGUCCCGGACCGGGCGGCCUGA